GGGUUGUGAGGUUAAGCGACUAAGCGUACACGGUGGAUGCCCUGGCAGUCAGAGGCGAUGAAGGACGUGCUAAUCUGCGAUAAGCGUCGGUAAGGUGAUAUGAACCGUUAUAACCGGCGAUUUCCGAAUGGGGAAACCCAGUGUGAUCCGUCACACUAUCAUUACGUGAAUACAUAGCGUAAUGAAGCGAACCGGGGGAACUGAAACAUCUAAGUACCCCGAGGAAAAGAAAUCAACCGAGAUUCCCCCAGUAGCGGCGAGCGAACGGGGAACAGCCCAGAGUCUGAAUCAGCUUGUGUGUUAGUGGAACGGUCUGGAAAGUCCGACGGUACAGGGUGAUAGUCCCGUACACCAAAAUGCACAGGUUGUGAACUCGAAGAGUAGGGCGGGACACGUGGUAUCCUGUCUGAAUAUGGGGGGACCAUCCUCCAAGGCUAAAUACUCCUGACUGACCGAUAGUGAACCAGUACCGUGAGGGAAAGGCGAAAAGAACCCCGGCGAGGGGAGUGAAAAAGAACCUGAAACCGUGUACGUACAAGCAGUGGGAGCCUCUUUAUGGGGUGACUGCGUACCUUUUGUAUAAUGGGUCAGCGACUUAUAUUCUGUAGCAAGGUUAACCGUAUAGGGGAGCCGAAGGGAAACCGAGUCUUAACUGGGCGUUAAGUUGCAGGGUAUAGACCCGAAACCCGGUGAUCUAGCCAUGGGCAGGUUGAAGGUUGGGUAACACUAACUGGAGGACCGAACCGACUAAUGUUGAAAAAUUAGCGGAUGACUUGUGGCUGGGGGUGAAAGGCCAAUCAAACCGGGAGAUAGCUGGUUCUCCCCGAAAGCU
rnacentral:rRNA from 1 species